CCCAACUAUCCCUAUUAAUCAUUACGUUGAUCCUAGAAACCAACAAAAUAGGAUCGAACGUCCUAUUUCAUUAUUCCAUGCUAAUGUAUUCAAGCUAAUGCCUGCUUUAAACACUCUAAUUUUUUCAAAGUAACAGUCCUAACUCCCCAUAACACCAAAUUAAUGACAUCAUGGUUCGUCAGAAAGGAGAAACCAAUGACGCCAGUGCGUACCAAAAAAGCACGACCGACGUAUUGAUCCCGAAAUUCAACUACGAGCUUUUUAACUGCAACAACUUUAAUAUACGCUAUUGGAGCUGGAAUUACCGCGGCUGCUGGCACCAGACUUGCCCUCCAA
rnacentral:misc_RNA from 1 species